rnacentral:snRNA from 1 species
ACACUUACCUGGCAGGGGAGAUACCAUGAUCACGAAGGUGGUUUUCCCAGGGCGAGGCUUAUCCAUUGCACUCCGGAUGUGCUGACCCCUGCGAUUUCCCCAAAUGUGGGAAACUCGACUGCAUAAUUUGUGGUAGUGGGGGACUGCGUUCGCGCUCUCCCCUG